rnacentral:rRNA from 1 species
UUGGCAGGGUAAAGGCCUACCAAGACUAUGAUGUGUAGCUGGACUGAGAGGUUGAACAGCCACAUUGGGACUGAGACACGGCCCAAACUCCUACGGGAGGCAGCAGUAGGGAAUUUUCGGCAAUGGAGGAAACUCUGACCGAGCAACGCCGCGUGAACGAUGAAGUAUUUCGGUAUGUAAAGUUCUUUUAUUGAAGAAGAAAAAAUAGUGGAAAAACUAUCUUGACGAUAUUCAAUGAAUAAGCCCCGGCAAACUAUGUGCCAGCAGCCGCGGUAAUACAUAGGGGGCGAGCGUUAUCCGGAAUUAUUGGGCGUAAAGGGUGCGUAGGCGGUUUAAUAAGUCUAUAGUUUAAUUUCAGUGCUUAACACUGUCCUGCUAUAGAAACUAUUAGACUAGAGUGAGAUAGAGGCAAGUGGAAUUCCAUGUGUAGCGGUAAAAUGCGUAAAUAUAUGGAGGAACACCAGAGGCGUAGGCGGCUUGCUGGGUCUUUACUGACGCUGAGGCACGAAAGCGUGGGGAGCAAACAGGAUUAGAUACCCUGGUAGUCCACGCCGUAAACGAUGAGUACUAAGUGUCGGGAUUACUCGGUACUGAAGUUAACACAUUAAGUACUCCGCCUGAGUAGUACGUACGCAAGUAUGAAACUUAAAGGAAUUGACGGGACUCCGCACAAGCGGUGGAUCAUGUUGUUUAAUUCGAAGAUACACGAAAAACCUUACCAGGUCUUGACAUACUCUGCAAAGCUAUAGCAAUAUAGUGGAGGUUAUCAGGGAUACAGGUGGUGCAUGGUUGUCGUCAGCUCGUGUCGUGAGAUGUUAGGUUAAGUCCUAAAACGAGCGCAACCCUUGUCAUUAGUUGCCAGCAUGUCAUGAUGGGCACUUUAAUGAGACUGCCAAUGAAAAAUUGGAGGAAGGUGAGGAUCACGUCAAAUCAUCAUGCCCCUUAUGAUCUGGGCUACAAACGUGAUACAAUGGCUGUUACAAAGAGUAGCUGAAACGCAAGUUUAUAGCCAAUCUCAUAAAAGCAGUCUCAGUUCGGAUUGAAGUCUGCAACUCGACUUCAUGAAGUUGGAA